UACGUAGGGGGCAAGCGUUGUCCGGAUUUAUUGGGCGUAAAGCGCUCGCAGGCGGUCCGAUGCGUCGGGCGUGAAAGACCCCGGCUCAACUGGGGAGGGUCGUGCGAUACGGUCGGACUCGAGGCCAGUAGGGGGACGCGGAAUUCCGGGUGUAGUGGUGGAAUGCGUAGAGAUCCGGAGGAACACCAGCGGCGAAGGCGGCGUCCUGGACUGGUACUGACGCACAGGAGCGA
rnacentral:rRNA from 1 species